rnacentral:rRNA from 1 species
AGUGAACGCUGGCGGCGUGCUUAACACAUGCAAGUCGAACGAGAACGGGUUAUAGCUUGCUAUAAUUGUCAGCUAAGUGGCGCAUGGGAGAGUUAUGUAUAGGUAAUAUGCCUCUUACUAAGGGAUAACAAAUGGAAAAGUUUGCUAAAACCUUAUACUCCUUAUUAACAGCAGUUAAUAAGGUAAAGAUUUAUUGUUAAGAGAUUAGCCUGUAUUGUAUCAGUUAGUUGGUGGGGUAAUGGAUUACCAAAACUAUGACUCAUAACUGGUUUGAGAGUAUGAUCGGUCACACUGGGACUGAGACACGGUCCAGACUCCUACGGGAGGCAGCAGUGGGGAAUAUUGCACAAUGGACGAAAGUCUGAUGCAGCAACGCCGCGUGGAGGAUGACACAUUUCGGUGCGUAAACUCCUUUUAUAUGAGAAGAUAAUGACGGUAUUAUAUGAAUAAGCACCGGCUAACUCCGUGCCAGCAGCCGCCGUAA